rnacentral:lncRNA from 1 species
AGCCACCGCGCCCGGUCAUGUUUUGUUUUUUGAGACUGAGUUUCACACUUGUCGGCCAGGCUGGAGUGCAAUGGGGUGAUCUCAGCUCGCUGCAACCUCUGCCUCCUGGGUUCAAGCAAUUCUCCUGCCUCAGCCUCCAGAGUAGCUGGGAUUACAUUCACCUGCCACCAUGCCCAGUUAUUUUUGUAUUUUUAGUAGAGACAGGGUUUCACUAUGUUGGCCAGGCUGACCUCAGGUGAUCCACCUGCCUCGGCCUCCCAAAGUGCUGGGAUUUCAGGCGUGGGCCACUGUGCCCAGCCCAGCAUCCCUACCUUUAGGAAAACUAUCUCCCAGUGUCUCGUGGCAAAGGGCAAAUGAGUCUCGGCUUUACAGGCACCCACCUGCGGCUUAAGAGCUUCUUGGGCCUCCCACGGCUGAUAAAUCACCACCGAGUGGGUGUGCUUUGUCUGGGCUCCAGCAUGAGCAGACAGCCUGCCCUUGGCAGCUGCAGAGAGCAGCUCCUCUGCCUUCUCUCCCUUUCUUAGUGGGUUGGGCAGGCGCAAAAAUAGAUCCCAGAACCCCAUCUCUUAGGUUUUGCCAAGG